UCACUCCGAGAACGUCAAAUACCGACUGUUGGCAAAGGCCCUUUAGCGUCGGUGACUGACGGGAAAGGUACCCUUUUUAUUCGCUCGGUGACGGUAAAGGUACCCUUCGGCGUCUUCUGCAUACGGAAUGGGGGGUGCCUCACUACGUCUCUAAUAGACGAUGUGAGCAUCUUUCCUAUUGGAUAGUUUUUUAGGAUAUUCUUCUGUGAAAAUGGCGGACAUACUUUUUAUCCUGGGUGGAAAAUAUGAUAUUUUAGAAUAGUUACACCAUUAAAAGUGUUUAUGUAAACAUUUUUAGCGAGAAAUGUGCAUUUUACUUUCAUAAUCGUCGUUCGGCGAAUGUGAAGGAUGUUUGGGUUGAUAGAUAUGACGAAGAAUAUUUCAUCGGGCGAUAAUGGCCGGCGUACAGGCAUCCCGGGCUCACGAAAAUAGGUGACACUGUCACGUUAUUUAAUCUAUUGAAACGUGAUCAGGUACACGUAUUUUCUAAAUGUUCGUGUCAAAAAGCACAUUUUUCAAACUCAUGCAUAUCAAUUGGAAGUAUUUGUCGUGAUUUGUCACUAAGCACGACUUCCAUCUAAGGUUCUGUCCGGGAGCUUUCUCCCUAUUGUCCCUUAAGGAGCUCCGUACAGAACAUUUAUUGUUAAAAAUUGUCUGUGAUAACUAAGAAUAUGACAGCUUUUCCAGUCUCACCAAUAUGCGCACAGAUCG